rnacentral:rRNA from 1 species
CCUACGGGAGGCUGCAGUAGGGAAUAUUGCUCAAUGGGGGAAACCCUGAAGCAGCAACGCCGCGUGGAGGAUGAAGGUUUUCGGAUUGUAAACUCCUUUUGUUAGAGAAGAUAAUGACGGUAUCUAACGAAUAAGCACCGGCUAACUCCGUGCCAGCAGCCGCGGUAAUACGGAGGGUGCAAGCGUUACUCGGAAUCAUUGGGCGUAAAGAGCGCGUAGGCGGGAUAGCAAGUCAGAUGUGAAAUCCUAUGGCUUAACCAUAGAACUGCAUUUGAAACUGUUAUUCUAGAGUAUGGGAGAGGUAGGUGGAAUUCUUGGUGUAGGGGUGAAAUGCGUAGAGAUCAAGAGGAAUACUGAUUGCGAAGGCGACCUGCUAGAACAUAACUGACGCUGAUGCGCGAAAGCGUGGGGAGCAAACAGGAUUAGAUACCCUUGUAGUC